rnacentral:lncRNA from 1 species
CCAGAGAGUCUACGCAAAUUAAGAGUGAUAAAGACAAACCUGAAUGACGCUCAUGAUGAUUAAUGUGUUUGGCCUUUUCUGACUCACUUGGUUUGGUUCAACUUUUACAAGAUCCACAGUGUUUCUUAAUUUGGUGCAAUUGCUUUCUUACUUUGGAGUGUGCAGGAUACUUGUGUCGAUUAAGCUGUGUACGUUGCGUCCGAUCUUUACUUUCAGUAGUGUCACUUUCUAG